rnacentral:rRNA from 1 species
UACGAAGGGGGCUAGCGUUGUUCGGAAUUACUGGGCGUAAAGGGCGCGUAGGCGGUCCUGAUCGUCGGAUGUGAAAGGCCUGGGCUCAACCUGGGAACUGCAUCCGAUACGGCGGGACUGGAGUGUGGGAGAGGUUGGUGGAAUUCCCAGUGUAGAGGUGAAAUUCGUAGAUAUUGGGAAGAACACCGGUGGCGAAGGCGGCAUUCUGGACCGAUAUUGACGCUGAGGAGCGAAAGCCAGGGGAGCAAACGGG